AAAGUCAUCUAUGUUUCCUGAUAAAGGGGACAAUUAUUCGCCAUGGCACUAAGAUCGUCAACUUUGUGAAUAUGAUCUAGAAGAAAAAGCACAAUUAUUUAAAUAUGGCCCAUUUUGGUUUCUGAUAGAUUUGUUUGACACCUUUUCUUACUUUGAGGUGUAGUAUGCUUCCAUGUACCUUUCCAGUAUAAAUUCAGGUCCUACCAUCUGGAGUGACUCAAAGUAAGGUUGGACUUCUUUUGGAAGACAAAAACAAACAAACAAAAAGCAACAACAACAACAACAAAAACAAUUAUUCAAAUAUUUGAAGAUAAAUAUUGCUGCGAAAGGCCAUCAUGGCAUGUUCAUCAUAUGGCAUCCCCUGCUAUGUCUCUUCCUGGUUGGGAGGAAAUGGGGUCCUUCACCUGCUGCCCAAGAUGGGUGCAUGCAAGUCAUCUCCUGUGUCAACUGUGGGACGAGACCCACUGGUCAUAAGAAACUGAACUGAUACUCACUGUUGAAACUGGGCUUUCUCUGUCUCUUCUACAUGAUAGUAAAGCAUUGUUCCAUCCA
rnacentral:lncRNA from 1 species